GCAGCUGUCAGCAGCAUGGAUGCCAACAUCCACUACACAGGAGGUGGUUCUUCAAGGCAGCAGGAGAGCUCUGGGGAGCCCUGUGUGCAGGAGCAGGCACUAUCCCAGGCCUAACUUGCUACCAGGAACCUGCACAAGAAUUUAGGCUCAGCUGGCACAAGGCUGCAUCUCAGCACUGUCUGGUCAGAGUUAAACCAGCCACUUACUGGAGAGACACCUUUCCAGAGCCCCAGAAUACUCUCAGUACGAACAACCCUAAAGAGCAGCGUCACCAUCCCAGCACGACCAGACCUGAAAUAAAGACAAGACAGGAACUGAAGAAA